rnacentral:tRNA from 4 species
GGAAGGGUGCCGGAGUGGUCGAACGGGGCGCUCUCGAAAAGCGUUGUGCGAGCAAUCGCACCGGGGGUUCGAAUCCCUCCCCUUCCGCCA